rnacentral:lncRNA from 1 species
GCGCAGUUUGGGGGCCCGCAGGAGAGAGGUUAGGGUCGAUGCGCUGCAGCGCUGUAAGGAUGCCAUGUGGCGGGGUUUGCCACAUGGCGGAGUGUUCCCACGGGGCAAGGUGUUACAAAAUAAAUGGUAACAAAAAAUAUGUAUUUUUUUUAAUUUUUUCUUUUCUUCAAAUAAAUUCAAAAAUUUCAAGUAGUAAAAUGGAAUAACAUUUUUAUUUUUAUUUUCUGAUUUUAUAAAAAUA